CCCUUAGAUGUUCUGGGCCGCACGCGCGCUACACUGACGAUGGCAACGAGUUUUUCCUUCGCCGAAAGGUGUGGGUAAUCUUUUGAAACAUCGUCGUGCUGGGGAUAGAUCAUUGCAAUUUUUGAUCUUGAACGAGGAAUUCCUAGUAAGCGCGAGUCAUCAGCUCGCGUUGAUUACGUCCCUGCCCUUUGUACACACCGCCCGUCGCUACUACCGAUUGAAUGGUUAGUGAGGACUCCUGAUUGGCGCCGCCGCCCCGGCAACGGAGCAGCGGACUGCCGAAAAGUUGUUCAAACUUGAUCAUUUAGAGGAAGUAAAAGUCGUAACA
rnacentral:rRNA from 1 species